CCUUCGGGACCUCAGUUGGUAGAGCGGUGGACUGAAGAAGGAUAUAAAGCACAGAUAUCCAUAGGUCACUGGUUCAAAUCCGGCCCGAAUGA